rnacentral:misc_RNA from 1 species
UUGUUUUUGUUAAGAUAACAAGACGUUCGUUACACUGAUGUUUGUAUAGUUUGUUAGACCCGGAGGUCAAACGGUUCACAGAGGUGAGGGAUGUUAAGAUAAGACCUUUCGGUCAAUCAUUAAUGAUCCUUCCGCAGGUUCACCUACGGAAA